GACAGAGGGUGCAAACGUUGUUCGGAAUUACUGGGCGUAAAGCGCGUGUAGGCGGCUCUGCAAGUCGGGUGUGAAAUCCCACGGCUCAACCGUGGAAGUGCACUCGAAACUGCAGGGCUAGAGUCCUGGAGAGGAAGGUGGAAUGCUUGGUGUAGAGGUGAAAUUCGUAGAUAUCAAGCGGAACACCGGUGGCGAAGGCGGCCUUCUGGACAGUGACUGACGCUGAGACGCGAAAGCGUGGGGAGCAAACAGG
rnacentral:rRNA from 1 species